UACGUAGGGUGCGAGCGUUGUCCGGAAUUACUGGGCGUAAAGAGCUUGUAGGUGGUUUGUCGCGUUGUUCGUGAAAUCUCACGGCUUAACUGUGAGCGUGCGGGCGAUACGGGCAGACUAGAGUACUGCAGGGGAGACUGGAAUUCCUGGUGUAGCGGUGAAAUGCGCAGAUAUCAAGGAGGAACACCGAUGGCGAAGGCAGGUCUCUGGGCCAACUACUGACGUGAGAAGCGAAAGCAUGGGGGA
rnacentral:rRNA from 1 species